rnacentral:rRNA from 1 species
UACGUAGGGGGCAAGCGUUGUCCGGAAUUAUUGGGCGUAAAGAGCGUGUAGGCGGUCCGGUAAGUCAGCUGUGAAAGUCAAGGGCUCAACCCUUGAAUGCCGGUUGAUACUGUCGGGCUAGAGUCCGGAAGAGGCGAGUGGAAUUCCCGGUGUAGCGGUGAAAUGCGCAGAUAUCGGGAGGAACACCAAUGGCGAAGGCAGCUCGCCGGGACGGUACUGACGCUGAGACGCGAAAGCGUGGGGAGCAAACAGG